UACGGAGGGAGCUAGCGUUAUUCGGAAUUACUGGGCGUAAAGCGCACGUAGGCGGCUUUGUAAGUUAGAGGUGAAAGCCUGGAGCUCAACUCCAGAAUUGCCUUUAAGACUGCAUCGCUUGAAUCCAGGAGAAGGUGAGUGGAAUUCCGAGUGUAGAGGUGAAAUUCGUAGAUAUUCGGAAGAACACCAGUGGCGAAGGCGGCUCACUGGAUUGGUAU
rnacentral:rRNA from 1 species